rnacentral:lncRNA from 1 species
GGGAUCUUGGCAUCUUCUAUCGGGCUGUUGAUGUAUACAGAUGCAAGAGGUUGCUGGUGAACGUGGAGGCUACCUUCAUGGACGAGGCGGUAUAUAUGCUCUCCUUUCCCAUGUUAUUUAUUUGUUUGAUUAUGCACCCACAUAUGUUAUCUACGAAUAGUUCUUUAAGUGUUGCUUAAGUUGAAUAUACCGCCUUGGACAGUGAUGAUCUGCUCUAUCUCAAGGAGCAGAUGGAAGCCGAGGAGGAUGCAGAGCGCCUUCUACGCCGCACGGAGAAACGGGCAUUUGCUGCAUUUAAAAUAUCCUUUUUCCAAUGUCUAUUGAACUUUUCUUUUGCUGUUUUUGUUCUUGUGAUAUGCCAUGGACAUACUAUUAUUUGAAUCAUAAAGGUGUAACUGCUGCAAACCCCAAGAGGUGUAACUGCUCCAAAUUUCAUGCAAAUUUUUAUAUGACACAAACUCUCUGAGUACAUCCUUUUAGACUUCUGUUUGGAAAAAGUCUCUUCAGUUCUUAAUAGUUGUUGAACAUUUAAAUUUUCAAUUUGGCUUUAAUAUCUCGUUGCCCCUUUUUGUGUCUACUUGGGUGGAUUGAAUGAACGAGGGUGCUUCCUUCCAUUUGGAGGAUAAAAACUACAUGUCAUCUAAGGGUAAUUCCGUAAAUGCAGUGAAUAUAGUUUAUCUAAUUUUAUAUGAUCUGGCCUUUUAAAGCCAUAAAGUUUAAUUUCUCCCUCUAAUGCCGCAAUCAUUGUUACAAUUUCUUUUUAUUUUUUUCUUUAACUGCUUGAAACAAAGCUGCAAGCAUAGCUGAUUCUUCACCAGCAUCAUUACCCUUGCCACUUCGGGUUGAACCCAAGCCGAAGAGUGGGAU